GCAUUUGGAUGAAGAAACAUGGUCUGAUAGAGAAAACUCAGAACCCAUUUUCUAGAUACCCAUCAUUUAUUACAUAGGAGACAGCAUGAAGAGAAGGAAGAGACGGAACAAUAUCCACUGGGAGGGGGAAAGCUGACCUCUAUACAUGGUUUGGAUGAACAGGGAAAACAGACACUAUUGCAUACCAGGCCCCCAUCCCCUUCUCUUCUCUUUUAUUCCACAGGAUCCACAUCCAUACAUCUGAGAUAAAGCUGACCAAGUUCAUAAGCUCAACAAGCUCACAAGCACCAUUCAUAACAUGAUCAAAAACUGCGGCAAAGAUAUGGAGCACGCUUGGCCCACUCAAUUAUUUUCCAA
rnacentral:lncRNA from 1 species